rnacentral:rRNA from 1 species
CGUAGGGGGCAAGCGUUGUCCGGAUUUAUUGGGCGUAAAGCGCGUGUAGGCGGCCAGGUGGGUCGGCUGUGAAAACUCGAGGCUCAACCUCGGGACGUCGGCCGAAACCAUCUGGCUAGAGUCCGGAAGAGGAGAGUGGAAUUCCUGGUGUAGCGGUGAAAUGCGCAGAUAUCAGGAAGAACACCCGUGGCGAAGGCGGCUCUCUGGGACGGUACUGACGCUGAGACGCGAAAGCGUGGGGAGCGAACAGGAUUAGAUACCCUGGUAGUCCACGCCGUAAACGAUGGGAACUAGGUGUGGGCGGUGUCGACUCCGUCCGUGCCGAAGCUAACGCAUUAAGUUCCCCGCCUGGGGAGUACGGCCGCAAGGCUA